AGCGGUAGGUCUCGGUCGCGCAGCCCCUGCCACGAGUAGUAGCGCUUUCCCCGAUAUCAGAACCUGUCCUGUCCCCGGGAUCGCGGACACGACGGAAAUGAGGGCGAGGGUGGGCUGCUAGGCCUCAGGCUAGGCCACGACCUCCAAGGCCCCCCUUCCUCCGUGGGCCCCUCCAUUUUGACGACGCGACUAGAGCCCUCCGGCUCCACCACGUUGCAGGCCAAAAAAAAGCGCUCCCCAACACGCCGCUAUUUCGCUGCGGCGACGCUGCAGUGAAGGAAGAGGACGCCGGCCGCCUACUCCGGCAAACCGAAGGUUAGUACAGCUUUGGUUCGUUUGGCGGUUUCCUGUGGUUGGUAGAUGCCGCGGGGGCUGCAAUCUGGUUUUGCAUCCUAUCCCCCAAAUCUUGUGCCGCCUGGCGGCCGAGAUUAUCUGCUAUUCUCUGUCAAUAUCAGAUGGCCGGUGAGGGGGCCGGUCUCGUUGUUCCUGGUCCCGACGGAGGUGCGUUUGGAGCUGGCGUCGACAUCCUGGAAUCCGACUACCCCGCCGACAACCUAAUGCCUGACGGCAGGAACACCAGAGACCGCAACUUCUCCCCAUCUUGUCUUGUCCCCAAUCUGGUUCCUGCCGUCUCGCGUCCUAGCUAGCUGAUUUUGCUUUUCGAUCUGAAGGUCAGAUGGGCGGGGAGGUGGAUUCCACGCCAGGCCGAGUUUGCUGGAGAUGCGACGGGCGCGGUAGCUGACGGCCAGUUCACGAGCUGCUGGCUGCCGAGUGGGCAGCUGCCGCUGGCGAUGGAGAGUUUGGCGUUGGCGGAGAAGAGACCGGGGCCUGCCCCCACGAACCUGUCCUUGGUGGAGCAGACGGCACGGGAGUCGUGCCUGGCGUCGGAGCUGCCGGCGCUGGAGCUUUGUCGGCGCAUGCGGAAGAGGCUUGGAGUGCAGGAAUCGAAGAACCCGAGUCACCUCGGUACAAAAGAGGAAGCCGGGACGCAAUCCGGCAACCCGCUCUUGCAAGGAAGGGCAACCUCAACGGCCGGAAGAUGGGCUAGCAAGAAGGCACGCUGAAGAACCGAUGUAGCAGGUGCAAGGGGCAGGGGAGCAAUUCAGCUACGCGUGCUGUUGAACUUCAGAAUUGAACAGGGUGCGGUUGAUCGGGCUGCCAUAAUUUGUUUCAAGUUAAUCAGACCAACAAUUGUGUCGUGGUCUGUUGUCAGUAGCAUGUGUUUUGUGCCAAGUUGUUUUGCUUGUAAUAUCUAGCUUGGCUGUUGGUCUGUCAGGUGUUAAGACGACAAUCUGAACCCUGUCAUCUUGGCCUGAUUUUUGUUCUGUUGAAACCACGUUUGGCUGCGAACCUGAACCAUAUAUAUUUUUAUUUUGUGCCAA